AUACGUAGGGGGCGAGCGUUGUCCGGAAUGGUUGGGCGUAAAGGGCGCGUAGGCGGCGCGGUAAGUCUGGAGUGAAAGUCCUGCUUUCAAGGUGGGAAUUGCUUUGGAUACUGCCGCGCUUGAGUGCAGGAGAGGUUAUCGGAAUUCCCGGUGUAGCGGUGAAAUGCGUAGAGAUCGGGAGGAACACCAGUGGCGAAGGCGGGUAACUGGACUGCAACUGACGCUGAGGCGCGAAAGUGUGGGGAGCAAACAGGAUUAGAUACCCUGGUAGUCCACACUGUAAACGAUGAAUGCUAGGUGUAAGAGGUAUCGACCCCUUUUGUGCCGGAGUCAACACAAUAAGCAUUCCGCCUGGGGAGUACGGCCGCAAGGUUGAAACUCAAAUGAAUUGACGGG
rnacentral:rRNA from 1 species